CCUACGGGAGGCAGCAGUGAGGAAUAUUGGUCAAUGGACGAGAGUCUGAACCAGCCAAGUAGCGUGAAGGAUGACUGCCCUAUGGGUUGUAAACUUCUUUUAUAUGGGAAUAAAAUGUUCCACGUGUGGGAUUUUGUAUGUACCAUAUGAAUAAGGAUCGGCUAACUCCGUGCCAGCAGCCGCGGUAAUACGGAGGAUCCGAGCGUUAUCCGGAUUUAUUGGGUUUAAAGGGAGCGUAGGUGGAUUGUUAAGUCAGUUGUGAAAGUUUGCGGCUCAACCGUAAAAUUGCAGUUGAAACUGGCAGUCUUGAGUACAGUAGAGGUGGGCGGAAUUCGUGGUGUAGCGGUGAAAUGCUUAGAUAUCACGAAGAACUCCGAUUGCGAAGGCAGUUCACUGGACUGCCACUGACAUUGAUGCUCGAAAGUGUGGGUAUCAAACAGGAUUAGAUACCCUAGUAGUC
rnacentral:rRNA from 1 species